CAGUAGCCGCGGUAACACGAAGGGGGCUAGCGUUGUUCGGAAUUACUGGGCGUAAAGCGCACGUAGGCGGAUAUUUAAGUCAGGGGUGAAAUCCCGCAGCUCAACUGCGGAACUGCCUUUGAUACUGGGUAUCUUGAGUAUGGAAGAGGUUAGUGGAAUUGCGAGUGUAGAGGUGAAAUUUGUAGAUAUUCGCAGGAACACCAGUGGCGAAGGCGGCUAACUGGUCCAUAACUGACGCUGAGGUGCGAAAGCGUGGGGAGCAAACAGGAUUAGAUACCCGAGUAGUCCCUGUCUCUUAUAC
rnacentral:rRNA from 1 species